rnacentral:rRNA from 1 species
GACGAACGCUGGCGGCGUGCUUAACACAUGCAAGUCGAACGGAAAGGCCCUGCUUUUGCGGGGUGCUCGAGUGGCGAACGGGUGAGUAACACGUGAGUAACCUGCCCUUGACUUUGGGAUAACUUCAGGAAACUGGGGCUAAUACCGGAUAGGAGCUCCUGCUGCAUGGUGGGGGUUGGAAAGUUUCGGCGGUUGGGGAUGGACUCGCGGCUUAUCAGCUUGUUGGGGGGGUAGUGGAUUACCAAGGCUUUGACGGGUAGCCCGCCUGAGAGGUGGACCGGCGACAUUGGGACUGCGAUACGGCCCAGACUCCUACGGGAGGCAGCAGUGGGGAAUAUUGCACAAUGGGCGGAAGCCUGAUGCAGCAACGCCGCGUGCGGGAUGACGGCCUUCGGGUUGUAAACCGCUUUCGCCUGUGACGAAGCGUGAGUGACGGUAAUGGGUAAAGAAGCACCGGCUAACUACGUG